CGCUGACGAGUGGCGGACGGGUGAGUAAUGUCUGGGAAACUGCCUGAUGGAGGGGGAUAACUACUGGAAACGGUAGCUAAUACCGCAUAACGUCGCAAGACCAAAGAGGGGGACCUUCGGGCCUCUUGCCAUCAGAUGUGCCCAGAUGGGAUUAGCUAGUAGGUGGGGUAACGGCUCACCUAGGCGACGAUCCCUAGCUGGUCUGAGAGGAUGACCAGCCACACUGGAACUGAGACACGGUCCAGACUCCUACGGGAGGCAGCAGUGGGGAAUAUUGCACAAUGGGCGCAAGCCUGAUGCAGCCAUGCCGCGUGUAUGAAGAAGGCCUUCGGGUUGUAAAGUACUUUCAGCGGGGAGGAAGGCGAUGUGGUUAAUAACCGCGUCGAUUGACGUUACCCGCAGAAGAAGCACCGGCUAACUCCGUGCCAGCAGCCGCGGUAAUACGGAGGGUGCAAGCGUUAAUCGGAAUUACUGGGCGUAAAGCGCACGCAGGCGGUCUGUCAAGUCGGAUGUGAAAUCCCCGGGCUCAACCUGGGAACUGCAUCCGAAACUGGCAGGCUUGAGUCUCGUAGAGGGGGGUAGAAUUCCAGGUGUAGCGGUGAAAUGCGUAGAGAUCU
rnacentral:rRNA from 1 species